CUGGUUGAUCCUGCCAGUAGUCAUAUGCUUGUCUUAAAGAUUAAGCCAUGCAGGUGUAAGAUCAUAUCUAUGAAUGGUGAAUCCGCGAAUGGCUCAUUAAAUCAGUUAUAAUUUAAUAGGAUGUGAUUCGUUAAUUGGAUAACUGUGGUAAUUCUAGAGCUAAUACAUGCAUAUACGGCUGAACUUUGUUUGGCUGUGCUUUUAUUAGUGCAAACCAGGCCUUCGGGCUGCAAAAUGGUGACUCUGAAUAACUUUGCUGAGCAUUUGGACCUUGUGUCAGUGCUAUUCCUUUAAAGUAUCUGCUCUAUCAACUGUCGAUGGUAUAUUAUAUGUUUACCAUGGUUGUAACGGGUAACGGGGAAUUAGGGUUCGAUUCCGGAGAGGGAGCCUGAGAAACGGCUACCACAUCUAAGGAAGGCAGCAGGCGCGCAAAUUACCCAAUCCCGGCUCGGGGAGGUAGUGACAAAAAAUAACAAUGCGGGACUCUUAUGAGACUUCGUAAUUGGAAUGAGUACAUUCUAAAUCCUUUAACGAGGAACUAUUGGAGGGCAAGUCUGGUGCCAGCAGCCGCGGUAAUUCCAGCUCCAAUAGCGUAUAUUAAAGUUGUUGCGUCUAAAAAGCUCGUGGUUUGAAAACUUGCCUUGGCUUACAACAGACGUCUAAGGGCGUCACCGUUUGUCGAGAGCAAAUAUGGGUGACUGUUCUUGCCUUCUUCACUGAUUGGCUCGUAAAAGUCAUCGAAGAUCACUUUGAUUAAAUUAGGGUGCUCAAAGCAAGUGUGCCACUUGAAUAUGAAUGCAUGGAAUGAUGGAAUAUGUUGUUGUUCUAUUUGUUGGUUUUUUGAAUGACGAAAUGAUUGAAAGGAACUGUUGGGGGCAUUCGUAUUGUUGUGAGAGAGGUGAAAUUCUUAGACAUAGCAAGACGAACUACUGCGAAAGCAUUUGCCAAGAAUGUUUUCAUUGAUCAAGAACGAAAGUUAGAGGUUCGAAGGCGAUCAGAUACCGCCCUAGUUCUAACCAUAAACUAUGCCGACUAGCAAUUUGCUUUGUAUUUUUAUGACUAAGUGAGAGGCCACGGGAAACCAAAGUAGGGUUAUGGGGGAAGUAUGGUUGCAAAGCUGAAACUUAAAGGAAUUGACGGAAGGGCACCACCAGGAGUGGAGCCUGCGGCUUAAUUUGACCCAACACGGGAAAACUUACCU
rnacentral:rRNA from 1 species